UACGGAGGAUCCGAGCGUUAUCCGGAUUUACUGGGUUUAAAGGGUGCGUAGGCGGGCCCCUAAGUCAGCGGUGAAAGUCUGCGGCUCAACCGUAGGAUUGCCGUUGAUACUGGGGGCCUUGGAUUCGGUCGAGGCGGGCGGAAUGCGACAUGUAGCGGUGAAAUGCUUAGAUAUGUCGCAGAACGCCGAUUGCGAAGGCAGCUCGCCGGGCCGUUAUCGACGCUGAGGCACGAAAGCGUGGGGAUCAAACAGG
rnacentral:rRNA from 1 species